UACGAAGGUGGCGAGCGUUGUUCGGAUUUACUGGGCGUACAGGGAGCGUAGGCGGUUGGAUAAGCCCUCCGUGAAAUCUCCAGGCUUAACCUGGAAAGUGCAGAGGGGACUGUUCAGCUAGAGGAUGGGAGAGGAGCGCGGAAUUCCCGGUGUAGCGGUGAAAUGCGUAGAGAUCGGGAGGAAGGCCGGUGGCGAAGGCGACUACCUGGCCUGUUCUUGACGCUGAGGCGCGAAAGCUGGGGGAGCAAACGGG
rnacentral:rRNA from 1 species